CCUACGGGUGGCAGCAGUGGGGAAUAUUGGGCAAUGGGCGCAAGCCUGACCCAGCAACGCCGCGUGAAGGAAGAAGGCUUUCGGGUUGUAAACUUCUUUUGUCAGGGACGAAGCAAGUGACGGUACCUGCAAAGGAAGCACCGGCUAACUCCGUGCCAGCAGCCGCGGUAAUACGGAGGGUGCGAGCGUUAAUCGGAAUUACUGGGCGUAAAGCGCUCGUAGGCGGUAUGUCAAGUCAAGGGUGAAAUCCCCGCGCUCAACGUGGGAACUGCCUUUGAAACUGGCAAACUGGAGUGUGUGAGAGGAUAGUGGAAUUCCAGGUGUAGGAGUGAAAUCCGUAGAUAUCUGGAGGAACAUCAGUGGCGAAGGCGACUAUCUGGCACAUAACUGACGCUGAGGAGCGAAAGCGUGGGUAGCAAACAGGAUUAGAUACCCGAGUAGUC
rnacentral:rRNA from 1 species